CAAGCUCUGCGGCGCAGCGCGGGCACCGCCCCUUCCGCCCCAGCGGGCGUCGCACGCGGC
rnacentral:miRNA from 1 species